rnacentral:rRNA from 1 species
UGGGGAAUUUUGGACAAUGGGCGAAAGCCUGAUCCAGCAAUGCCGCGUGUGUGAAGAAGGCCUUCGGGUUGUAAAGCACUUUUGUCCGGAAAGAAAUCCUUGGCUCUAAUACAGUCGGGGGAUGACGGUACCGGAAGAAUAAGCACCGGCUAACUACGUGCCAGCACCGCGGUAAUACGUAGGGUGCAAGCGUUAAUCGGAAUUACUGGGCGUAAAGCGUGCGCAGGCGGUUUGCUAAGACCGAUGUGAAAUCCCCGGGCUCAACCUGGGAACUGCAUUGGUGACUGGCAGGCUAGAGUAUGGCAGAGGGGGGUAGAAUUCCACGUGUAGCAGUGAAAUGCGUAGAGAUGUGAGGAAUACCGAUGGCGAAGGCAGCCCCCUGGGCCAAUACUGACGCUCAUGCACGAAAGCGUGGGGAGCAAACAGGAUUCAGAUACCCUGGUAGUCCACGCCCUAAACGAUGUCAACUAGUUGUUGGGGAUUCAUUUCCUUAGUAACGUAGCUAACGCGUGAAGUUGACCG